ACGGGAGGCAGCAGUCGGGAAUAUUGCACAAUGGGGGAAACCCUGAUGCAGCGACGCCGCGUAAAGGAAGAAGGUCUUCGGAUUGUAAACUUUUGUCGACAGGGAAGAGAACGGACAGUACCUGUGGAGGAAGCCCCGGCUAACUACGUGCCAGCAGCCGCGGUAAUACGUAGGGGGCGAGCGUUAUCCGGAAUUACUGGGUGUAAAGGGCGUGUAGGCGGAAGCUUAAGUCUGAUGUGAAAUACCAAGGCUCAACUUUGGAACUGCAUCGGAAACUGGGCAUCUAGAGUGCAGGAGAGGAAAGCGGAAUUCUCAGUGUAGCGGUGAAAUGCGUAGAUAUUGAGAGGAACAUCGGUGGCGAAGGCGGCUUUCUGGACUGUAACUGACGCUGAGGCGCGAAAGCGUGGGGAGCAAACAGGAUUAGAUACCCUGGUA
rnacentral:rRNA from 2 species